UCUCAGUUUUGCUGUGUCACAGUGUUAGGAAGGGGUUUUGGUGUGUUCUGUUCUGUUCUGCUGCGUGUGGCCAACUUUCCAGAUUUUGGAGCGUGUUACUGGAAUACUCUUGGAGGUUCUGUACCUUCAAUGUAAUCUUCAGGAUGGAGAAUAGAAAAAAGUGCUACUGGAAUGUACAGAGUGGAGGAGAGGGAUGGUACAUCCAACUGGCUGUGGACUCAGCUCACAGCAAGUGCAUUUCUCAAGGAGUUUGGGUGCCUGGUUCACAGAUUGCAGCUGUCGUGGAGCGCACAUCACAAGGCUAUGCAUUAUGAAUGUGUCUGUCUUUUAACUUGAGGCACAGGAGGAGUACAAAGGCUCUUCAGGGCCCUCCCUAAAUGAAGGAAUGGCUGACUUUCUAAGCUUAUGUAAGUCAAAUCUUGGGCAUGCAAACAUCAGCACAACCUCUGGUGAGAGGUAUGUGGCUGUGACCUCUGUGCUAGCUGAUAUGGGAAAUUCUGGACUUGCAUUGUAGCCCUUUCUACAGUUCUGACUGUGAAGAUGAUAUGUACUAGAAAGAAGUGGGGCUCUUGUAACAGCUUUAAGGAAAUAAUGUUGUCCACUAUUUCUGCUUUCCCAAAAAUGCAAGAGUAAAAUUUAAAGCAUUUA